GGGCAGAAAAAAAAAAAAAAAAAAGGAUGAAGUUAAAUAGCAUAAAGUUCAAGGUCACAUAGUCUCAGACCAGCAAGAAUUUCUGCCAAGAAUUAGCAACCUGUGUCUUGGAAACAGCUGAAGAGAAGGAAGAGACUUGAGGCUACUCUCCCAUCGCAGCCUAAUCCAAAGAAGUGCUGGGAAAGUGUGGUAUUGCAGAAGCUGUUAUAGAGAGAUUUUAAGGAAAUGUCCUACCAUUUCUAACAAUGCUGACAAUUCUUCAAUGCUUGUGUGGUUUGUACCACCGUUUUUUCACUGCAUUACAAAUGUGUAUAAAACUCUUGAGUUAUGGCCUGAACCACACAUUGGUCACCUGAGGAAAGGACUGAGUCAGCUGUGGGAGCACAGGUGAAGGUAAUUACCUCCUAGACUUCAUUUAAGGGGCUGACUGCCACUAGGAAGCAUUUCUUUCUGAAGAUCCCUCUUCUGUGGAGUCUUUCCUGCAAACUUAGAUCUUAAGAUACAGUUUCCAUGGAAAUAAUUAGGAGUUUACUUUCAGAGCAACUUAUGGAUACGUUCUUCACUCAGUGCAGCUGAGGCAAGCCAAAGGGUUGGACACCCAUGAGCCAGAACAACUCUUCCCUUUCUCUGAUGACCUUUUGAUGAGACAAACACUCUUCCUGUGCCAGGGAAGCACAGAGGUGAUUGACUUGUCAAGUCAGUGAGGGCUUCUUUACUGGGAUAUUAAUUCAUGCUUUCUGAAGCUCACUGUAGCGUCUGCUUCAUCAAGCACAUCUUUCUAGUAAAAAAUAGUUCUUUAUUCCUAACCUAUGGACUAUAAAUCUCCUAAGCUACGUCUCUGGGUACCUGUAAAAUUGCUGAGUAAAUAAGGAGCAGAGUCAUCAUCAGAAUAGCAACAAUAACAUUUUUUGACUACUGAACUCAGCUACACGCUGUGGAUGUGGGUUUACCAAAGAGACUGACUAUUGCUAGCUUCCUUUCUGAUGUGCAGACUUCACAUCUCAAUUGCACUGCCUGUAACUGCUAUAUUAAUAUACUGUAUAUUUUAAUACAUAUUGUGUGAUAUCUUAGGCAAUAACAUAUCGAUGUGAAGUUCUAUAAAACAUGCUGUAAUAUUCUUUUUGAAAAACAAGAUAAAAUGACACUAAAAUAAAACUGAAGGAUUUAUACUUGUUUCAACAAUGGUUGUGCCUUUGAGAAGCCAAUAGUUAUUAUGUUGAAAAAGGUAAAUCUAUAAAUAAGAUUUAAAGAACACAGACGCAUAAAGCACAGAGGAAAGAGAGUGGUUUCCUGGAGUCUAAAUGUACCUGCCACUUGCUUACUUCUGAUCUCAGUUAACGUGAGUAAAUUAGGUUGCUGCUUUUCAUCAUCUGUUCUCAGAUUGGUGUCAAGGACUACUUUAGUGUCUCAGAACAUGUUUUAUGUUAGGAAUAUAUGACCAGUGUGGAAGUGAAAGAGGACCCUGUUGGCACCACAGGCAUGUGUGGAGGGAGAGGGCAAGAGUUUUUAGAAUGAACUGAAUAGACCAGCUGGAAAGUAACUGGUCAGUUGAACAGAUGAUAUUGAGAAGAGGCCAUCACAGGAGAUGAGGAAGUAAUUUUGUUAAAGUGUAUACUCUUAUCCUAUGAAGGUUUGUUUAUAUAUUUACUCUCAUGAUGAUGAGUAACUUUCAUGACUUCAUUGGGAUUAUUGUUUAAGAUUAUCACAUGCUUUUCAUCUUUUCCUUUGCUGAAGACAGAUUUACAUAGAAACUGUCGUCAGAACGUUUUUCAUCUUACAGUCAGGUGCUGCCUUGGUUAUGAAAUUGAUAACAUUGCCUAUCACAGAAUCAUAGAAUUGCUCAGAGCCUUAAAGAUCAUAGAGUCCAACCACGACCUAACCAUACUACCCUAACUCUAAGAACCCUCUGCUAAAUCAUGUCUCUAUCAGUAUACACUGGAUACUGAAUCUUCUUAAUGAGAACCAAGACAGCAGUUGGGCCUGCAUUCCUUGGCUGUAGAUGGAGGAGAGCAUGCAGAAACCAAGAAACAGCAUGAGAUGAAAGUAAGAAUAGCAGGAUGCUGGAAAAGGAGCAGUGGGAAGUUGCUCAGAAAGGCUCCUGGAGGCAAAAAGUGCUGCAAAUGGAGAAAUGUAGAAAGGCAGAUGCAUGCCUUACAUUCAAAUAACAGCCUUUUUAAUGGCUGAAAAAACAGCUCUAGUCUAAUAUUGAAAUCAUGCUACACUUUUCUGUAUCAAAACAUGAGACAUCUAAUUGCAUGGCAUAGUAACACAGAAACCUUUGUUACCAAAAAAAACUACCCUAAACAGACCCGCUGCAUGAAUUUGUAAAGCUUUAUUUGUUUCUUUUUAAUAAUAUAAUUAUCUAUAGAUACUGAGUGUCUAAUCUCCAUUUACCUAAGUUCUGUGUACAACCCAUACAACUCCAUGUACCCUAAUCCACCCAUAAUGACUGAAUUAUUGUUGGUGUUGAACAUAGCAAACUGCAGCAGGGAAGCAGUAACACCUGAGAUUACGACUCGUUUUCUUCUCUGGUACUUGCAGCUUAAUUCCAGGUGAGGGGUAAAUGCCUUCCUCCACCAGUCUUCACAAACUUAGGCUGCUUUCCUGGUGACUGUAACCUUUUCUUCAGAGGACUGAUCCCAGCUUUCUCUAUUCUUUUAACGUUCAGGUAGGGAUGGGUGUUUUCUUUAGAUCAGAGCAUUCACCGAGGCAGUGAGACACCCAUGUGUCCUGCAGUCUGAAAUGGUUCAAGCAUGUUAAUUAGUUGGGUAUGUGCAAGAAGCCUCCUGAAGCUAUUUCAAAGCUGCUGAAGAUGCUGCUCUGAAGGAGCCAAGGUGCAGUUACUGGAGGUGGUAUAGAUGUAUUGCCCUUCAGCAUGGGGGCUCAGGACUCCUGCAUUCUGGCUGAGUGCUUUAGCUGGCAAGAGGAUGAAGAGGGCUUAAAGCUGAGGUGGAGUGUAGCUGUAAUGCAGUGGAGUGUUAAGUGGAAUGUAAGCAUUCAUUGCCCCAGGACAAGCACCUAUAGGCGUAUUUAGGAAAAUAAAAUCCUCAAGAAAUUUCAGACAAAGCCGGGAUAUUCCUGGUAGAUCUUGGUCUUGUGCUGAUUUCGAUCCCCUAAAUUAGCUAUAUUUCUGGAAUGGAUCUUCCUAACACUAAGCUCAGAUGGUCAGAAAAAAAUGACAAAAAUGAAUUUAAAUAAAAAACUAAACUGAAAAUAUUUUUAAUUCAUUCCUUCUUUCUUUCCUUUUUAUGGCCUCUUAUGAAUUCGAGCUGUUUCUCAGAAUUUCUCUCUGGAGGUCUCUUCUAUCUCUCUCCUUGGGUUUCUCAGAUUUAGAGAGAAAUAUAAAGACUAUUUUUACUUCUACACAGGGAUUAAUAGAAUCCUGCCUGUCUAGCUGCAGGGUAAAUCAGCACAAUUUCCCUGUAUGCCAAAUGCCAGGAGUUUGUCAUAGAUAUGCUUAAGCCCUACCAUUAAAUGUGGUUUGUAGUACGUGUUGUGUACUAUUAGUGGUUAGCUAGGGAAGAAUGAUACAAAUGAUGACCAAAAGACUAGUUAAGACCCACUUCCAAAUGUCCUGUGACCGUAUCCCCAAAUUGGCAGCAGAUCUGCUUUGCUGAUCAUAAAUGUUAUACUAUUUGGAUGGACUUUUUAAACCCUGCCAUUUUUGGGCAUUUAAAAAUAAAAGGAUAAACAAAACCACAUCUGGUCUACAAAUGUGCGUGUCAUGUUUGAGCUUGAUGCAGUUUCGAAUUAGUUGUUAAACACUGAAAAGCAGGGUUCAUAAGGGAAAUGCCUACUCAGCUGAUUGUAGUGCAACUGGUGCAACUGUAAUAGAAGCCAGACACUCCUUGAAAUAGCAGACAACUGUGUAUGGCUAUAGAGGAAUAGAGGGAAAGAAAAGCCAGAUGGUGUACUUAGCUGCACUUAAAAUCUGAUUGUGUGUGUCAAUAACGAAUGCCCAAAUAAGAUUCUUUCAUUUAAAGAAAGAAAAAAAGAAUAUAUGUGCAUACUAGUAGAACAAAUGCAACCCUACAGAAAAAAAACAUGUGGAUUCCAUCGCUGUGAUGGUGGUUAUUGUAAUGACCAGUUAACCUGCAUUUGCUGCAGUUGUCUAAAUUCUUAAACAUUAAAUAUUUUACAACACAAUAACAAAAUAACUAAAUCAUAGGGGUAAUCCUGACAAACAGAAAAUAUUUAUGGCCCAUUUUCUUAGAAAUACAAAUGGUUGCUUUUGCUUAGGUUGCUGGAAAAAGUUGCUUACUGGAUGCCACAGUCUUAAAAAACUUUCCCUUAUUUGGAUGUUAGAAUGAAUUUCUGGCAGGGUCAUCUGAGUCCUUCAUUAUUUCUAGGUAGAUUAAAUGGUUUAUUAAGGGUGAAACUUGGGCCUUGUGCUAAUCAAUGGAAACUUUACAAUCAGCCACAGCAUCACACCUAUAAAUAAACAUUUCAUGCAAGACUUUAAAAUAAAGAAUUUCUGCUGUGUAUGGAAAUUAAUGUUUCCCACAGUUACUCAGUCUUACAGAAAGAAUUUACUUGGCUGAAGUAUGUAUAAACAAUUAAAGAAUAAAUAUCUCUAUAAUUCCU